UGGGGAAUAUUGCACAAUGGGCGCAAGCCUGAUGCAGCCAUGCCGCGUGUAUGAAGAAGGCCUUCGGGUUGUAAAGCACUUUCAGCGGGGAGGAAGGCGUUAAGGUUAAUAACCUUGGCGAUUGACGUUACCCGCAGAAGAAGCACCGGCUAACUCCGUGCCAGCAGCCGCGGUAAUACGGAGGGUGCAAGCGUUAAUCGGAAUUACUGGGCGUAAAGCGCACGCAGGCGGUCUGUCAAGUCGGAUGUGAAAUCCCCCGGCUCAACCUGGGAACUGCAUUCGAAACUGGCAGGCUAGAGUCUUGUAGAGGGGGGUAGAAUUCCAGGUGUAGCGGUGAAAUGCGUAGAGAUCUGGAGGAAUACCGGUGGCGAAGGCGGCCCCCUGGACAAAGACUGACGCUCAGGUGCGAAAGCGUGGGGAGCAAACAGG
rnacentral:rRNA from 1 species